GACGAACGCUGGCGGCGUGCUUAACACAUGCAAGUCGAACGGUGAAGCGCCUUCCUUUUUGGUGGGUGUGGAUGAGUGGCGAACGGGUGAGUAACACGUGAGUAACCUGCCCCCUUCUUCUGGAUAACCGCAUGAAAGUGUGGCUAAUACGGGAUAUUCUGGGUCUGUCGCAUGAUGGGUCUGGGAAAGAUAUUGUUUCGGUGGGGGAUGGGCUCGCGGCCUAUCAGCUUGUUGGUGGGGUGAUGGCCUACCAAGGCGGUGACGGGUAGCCGGCCUGAGAGGGUGGACGGUCACACUGGGACGGAGACACGGCCCAGACUCCUACGGGAGGCAGCAGUGGGGAAUAUUGCACAAUGGGCGCAAGCCUGAUGCAGCGACGCCGCGUGAGGGAUGGAGGCCUUCGGGUUGUGAACCUCUUUCGCCAGUGAAGCAGGCCUGCCUCGUUUGUGGGUGGGUUGACGGUAGCUGGAUAAGAAGCGCCGGCUAACUACGU
rnacentral:rRNA from 1 species